rnacentral:rRNA from 1 species
CCUACGUGAGGCAGCAGUGAGGAAUAUUGGUCAAUGGGCGCGAGCCUGAACCAGCCAAGUAGCGUGAAGGAUGACUGCCCUACGGGUUGUAAACUUCUUUUAUAAAGGAAUAAAGUGAGGCACGUGUGCCUUUUUGUAUGUACUUUAUGCAUAAGGAUCGGCUAACUCCGUGCCAGCAGCCGCGGUAAUACGGAGGAUUCGAGCGUUAUCCGGAUUUAUUGGGUUUAAAGGGAGCGUAGAUGGGUUGUUAAGUCAGUUGUGAAAGUUUGCGGCGCAACCGGAAAAUUGCAAUUGAUACUGGCAGUCUUGAGUACAGUUGAGGUAGGCGGAAUUCGUGGUGUAGCGGUGAAAUGCUUAGAUAUCACGAAGAACUCCAAUUGCGAAGGCAGCUUACUAAACUGCCACUGACAUUGAUGCUCGAAAGUGUGGGUAUCAAACAGGAUUAGAUACCCGAGUAGUC